rnacentral:rRNA from 1 species
UAGGGAAUCUUCGGCAAUGGACGGAAGUCUGACCGAGCAACGCCGCGUGAGUGAAGAAGGUUUUCGGAUCGUAAAGCUCUGUUGUUAGAGAAGAACGUCGGUUGGAGUGGAAAAUCUACCAAGUGACGGUAACUAACCAGAAAGGGACGGCUAACUACGUGCCAGCAGCCGCGGUAAUACGUAGGUCCCGAGCGUUGUCCGGAUUUAUUGGGCGUAAAGCGAGCGCAGGCGGUUCUUUAAGUCUGAAGUUAAAGGCAGUGGCUUAACCAUUGUACGGUUUGGAAACUGGAGGACUUGAGUGCAGAAGGGGAGAGUGGAAUUCCAGGUGUAGCGGUGAAAUGCGUAGAUAUAUGGAGGAACGCCGGUGGCGAAAGCGGCUCUCUGGUCUGUAACUGACGCUGAAGCUCGAAAACGUGGGGAGCAAACAGG